GCACGAGCUAUUUAUCCUAAUCUUUCAAAAGCUUGGUUUAGCUCCUGAAAAGAAUUUGUUGGUGACGUCUAUGUUAACCAAAUCUAUUGAUCAAUAUCCACAAUCAACUGUGCAAAAGCCAGAUGAACCAGAGAAAGCAGGCGAAGAACUCGAGGCUCACCCCAAUUCGGUACAAAUGGGGUCGAACCUAUGGUAGGAGAUGGAGAUGAAGUGAUGACAGAUGUAGAGGCUGAUAUAGAUGAUGAUUUGACCAUUGACAUGGAAGCUUUUGAAGAAAUAGUUGGA